rnacentral:rRNA from 1 species
UACGUAGGGGGGCAAGCGUUGUCCGGAAUCAUUGGGCGUAAAGCGCGUGUAGGCGGCCCGGUAAGUCCGCUGUGAAAGUCCAGGGCUCAACCCUGGAAUGCCGGUGGAUACUGGCGACCUUGAGUCCGGGAGAGGUGAGUGGAACUGCGAGUGUAGAGGUGAAAUUCGUAGAUAUUCGGCAAGAACACCAGUGGCGAAGGCGGCUCACUGGCCCGGUACUGACGCUGAGGUGCGAAAGCUAGGGGAGCGAACGGG